rnacentral:tRNA from 1 species
GCCGUUAUAGCUCAGUGGUGAGCUCUGGUCUUGUAAACCAGGGGCCGGUAAUUAAAAUAUUUCUAGUGGCA